ensembl:lncRNA
GAUGGCACCCAGUGAGGACACAGACAGGAGUGGCCCUUGGCAAGGACACUGGGCAGGAUGGCACCUGGUGAGGACACUGGGCAGGAUGGCACCCGAUGAGGACACACAGCAGGAUGGCACCUGGUGAGGACAUGGGGCAGGAGUGGCACCCGGUGAGGACACAGACAGGAGUGGCCCUUGGCGAGGACACGGGGCAGGAUGGCACCCGAUGAGGACAUGGGACACACAGCAGGAUGGCACCCGGUGAGGACACACAGCAGGAUGGCACCCGGUGAGGACAUGGGACACACAGCAGGAUGGCACCCAGUGAGGACACACAGCAGGAUGGCACCCGGUGAGGACACACAGCAGGAUGGCACCCAGUGAGGACAUGGGACACACAGCAGGAUGGCACCUGUCCCCUCCCGAGGCUGGAUUGUCCCCGAUGGUUCCUCUGGGCCUCGCCUGGGCUUUGGAUGCUCCCUUCUGUCCGCAGCUGGAAUGGCAGGGCCGUUCCUCCUGCUCCUCCCAAAUCCCGUGGAUUUACUGCUUCUGGCUGCUUUUCCAUCGUCCUGCUGGGACUGGCUCUGGCACAGGGAAUCUCCGAGGGACGGAUGGGGACAAGCAGCACCUGCAGCCUGAGCCUGCCAUUCCCUCUUUUUCUGGGCUGCUCUGAGCGUGCUGGCUCUGCAGGAGGAAGGAUUCCAUGCCCUGCUGGAGGACAAAUCCUGCUGCUCUGAUGCUGUUGCUGUUGGAUGGAGCUGCUGUUGCUCUCUUCCCUUCUCCUAUUCCUGCACAGCUUCUCCCAUGGUUUCCCAGGAAAACCACCUGUGAUCCAAACAGGUCAGCAUUGUCUCAGAACCCUUCUCCUCUUACCAUUCCUGUGCUUCCUAAAUCCUCGUGGCUGCCCUGCUGUGGUGUCCAUGCCUUCCCCUCUUUCCAAGGGUUUUUUCCUUGGAUUAUCCACACUGCUGAGGUGUGGAUAAUAAUCAUACUUCAUCCCUGCAGGUGAUGCUCUGGCUCAUCCCUGUUUGUGUGGGCCAGGACCAAAUUCCCUGGAGCGGGGAAUUCUGCAUUCCAGGAUAAGAACAGCCCCAAAGCCAAGCUGCUUUUCCCAGCUGGAGCCCCCAGUCCAGGCAGGAAGCUGGAGAGGACAGAGGGGACGUUUGUGGUGCUGGAACAUCUGCUCUGCAACCCCCAGGAGCCCCUUCUGGCCAAAAGCCUCGGGGCUGGGGGGUCUGAGGGAUGCUGCAGCUGCUGGAGAGCCUGGCUGAGCUCCUGGCAUCCCAAAAAUCCCAAAAAUCCCAGAAAUCAGCACAGGGAACCAUCCCAGGCACAGCCAGGUGGCUCUCCCUGCCUGGCACACCCAGAGGGGUGGCAGGGACAGCCCCAGGUCCUGUUUGACAGGGAGAGCCCCAAUCCUGCCUGGGAUUGCCCAGCUCUGGGCUCUGCACCUGGGGGGCAGCAGGAAAACAAUUCCUGCACUUUGCUUUCCAGGGAAAGGAGAGAGGGGGGCACAGAGAAUUAAUCAGCUUAGGGUCAGCACAGGAAAAAACACUGCUUAAAUGGGUAAUCCCCGGGCUGGAAAUCAGCUCAGAGCUGUGUCCUGGGGUGACGUUNCCCCAAAGUGACAGUGGCAUCCCGGAGGGGGCUGUCCCUGCAGGACAGGCUUUUCCUGCCCAUCCCACUCUGAUCCUGCGUGUCCAGCCCACACCGAUGGUGCUGCUGAGCUUUGAUCUGCUCCCAGUGAUUAAAUUCCUAUCAUCCAGACUGACAGCUUAAUAUUCCUUAAUAUUCCUCAGCCAGGCCGUGCUAAAUUAGUUGUGUCUGUCUUGCCAGAGCUGCAGAAAUCUUUCUGACAGCUCCAGGCACUCGAUACAUUUUUUUUCUCCUUUUUUUUUUAUCAAUUUUUUUGCUGUUUUCUCAGUGUACAGUAGGAGUUGUGUUUGCUCUGUUCAGGGAAUGCUUUCCUGGGUUUCCCACAAGCUGCUGAAGUCACUCAGUGCCUGUGG